AAGAAAUCAAGAAAAAAUCACGAUGUAUUGAAAAAUUGCGAAAAAACAGUAAAAAAACAAAUUUUAAAAUUAGUAAAAAUAGCCCUUUUUUUAGCUUUUUCAAUUUUUUUGGUUUUUUUGACCAGUUGCUAUCGUGUUUUAGUUUUGGCCAAAUUGCGGAA
rnacentral:ribozyme from 12 species